rnacentral:rRNA from 1 species
GGCAGAGGAGGCAAGCGCUAUCCGGAAUUAUUGGGCGUAAAGCGUUCGUAGGUGGUUUGACAAGUCUGGGGUUAAAGCCCGGAGCCCAACUCCGGAUCGGCCCUGGAAACUGUCAGACUUGAGUAAGGUAGGGGUUGCGGGAAUUCCCGGUGUAGCGGUGAAAUGCGUAGAUAUCGGGAAGAACACCAGCGGCGAAAGCGCGCAACUGGGCCAUUACUGACACUGAGGGACGAAAGCUAGGGGAGCGAAUGGG